rnacentral:rRNA from 1 species
UGGGGAAUUUUGGACAAUGGGCGAAAGCCUGAUCCAGCAAUGCCGCGUGUGUGAAGAAGGCCUUCGGGUUGUAAAGCACUUUUGUCCGGAAAGAAAUCCUUGGUUCUAAUAUAGCCGGGGGAUGACGGUACCGGAAGAAUAAGCACCGGCUAACUACGUGCCAGCAGCCGCGGUAAUACGUAGGGUGCGAGCGUUAAUCGGAAUUACUGGGCGUAAAGCGUGCGCAGGCGGUUUGUUAAGACCGAUGUGAAAUCCCCGGGCUCAACCUGGGAACUGCAUUGGUGACUGGCAAGCUAGAGUAUGGCAGAGGGGGGUAGAAUUCCACGUGUAGCAGUGAAAUGCGUAGAGAUGUGGAGGAAUACCGAUGGCGAAGGCAGCCCCCUGGGCCAAUACUGACGCUCAUGCACGAAAGCGUGGGGAGCAAACA